CAGGAAGCUGUGUGUGCAGAGACCUGCACCUGUAGAUAUUUUCAGUGUCAAAGCUUGGCUGAGACUUUACACAGUAUUUUUGUGAUAAAAGAAGCGAACGAUUAGUCACUGAAAAUUUCAAGUGACCUCAGUAACCUGACUGCUGACUCAUUCUGUGGCUCAUCUUCUACAAUGGUAGAGUUCCCAGCUUAUUACUUCUCUGUUAGCCAGCUGAACAGAAAGGACCCAAGUACCCAAGAGGGGAUGAUGGGAGAACAGAGAAAAUAAGA